AUUGAACGCUGGCGGCAUGCUUUACACAUGCAAGUCGAACGGUAACAGGCCGCAAGGUGCUGACGAGUGGCGAACGGGUGAGUAAUGCAUCGGAACGUGCCCAGUCGUGGGGGAUAACGCAGCGAAAGCUGUGCUAAUACCGCAUACGAUCUGCGGAUGAAAGCGGGGGACCUUCGGGCCUCGCGCGAUUGGAGCGGCCGAUGUCAGAUUAGGUAGUUGGUGGGGUAAAGGCUCACCAAGCCAACGAUCUGUAGCUGGUCUGAGAGGACGACCAGCCACGCUGGGACUGAGACACGGCCCAGACUCCUACGGGAGGCAGCAGUGGGGAAUUUUGGACAAUGGGCGCAAGCCUGAUCCAGCAAUGCCGCGUGCAGGAAGAAGGCCUUCGGGUUGUAAACUGCUUUUGUACGGAGCGAAAAGGCUCCCUCUAAUACAGGGGGCUCAUGACGGUACCGUAAGAAUAAGCACCGGCUAACUACGUGCCAGCAGCCGCCGUAACAC
rnacentral:rRNA from 1 species